rnacentral:rRNA from 1 species
GCACGUAUGUGGGCGACUCUAAGGAGACUGCCGGUGGACGAACCGAGGAAGGUGGGGAGUGACGUCAAGUCAUCAUGGCCCUUACGGCCUGGGCUACACACGUGCUACAAUGGUCGGUACAAAGGGUUGCCAAGCCGCGAGGUGGAGCUAAUCCCAUAAAACCGAUCGUAGUCCGGAUCGCAGUCUGCAACUCGACUGCGUGAAGUCGGAAUCGCUAGUAAUCGUGAAUCAGAAUGUCACGGUGAAUACGUUCCCGGGCCUU